ensembl:lncRNA
CCGGGAUCGGAACAUUUAAAGUGCAAUAAUUGCAUGAAACAAGAGUAUAUUGAGAAGUCUGAAAGUUUAAUAACAUUAAAGGUAAUGAAUUUCGUUGCAUGGAGGCCAACUUUAAUACUUAUUUGUCCUCGAAGCACACAAAGUCGGAUCAAAUCUCCUCUAUUUACCCCCGAGGGACAUUCCACAGAAACCUGAUUCAUAAUUGCAGAUGCAACCACAUUAAAACCACUGGGGCCGAUGCCUUAUCAGGUUUGACAAACCACUGGGGCCGAUGCCUUACCAGGUUUGACAAACCACUGGGGCCGAUGCCUUAUCAGGGUUGACAGGGCCUUCUCACUGGGGCCGAUGCCUUACCAGGUUUGGCAGGGCCUUCUCACUGGGGCCGAUGCCUUACCAGGUUUGGCAGGGCCUUCUCCGCGGACGCGCCCUCCCUGAGGAACGCUCUCCGUGCCUCCUCUCCCCGGCGGGCCGCCACCUCCGUCCUCGCAGGCCCGCAGAAGGCUGCCCCUCGACAUCGCCUUCAUCAGUUCACCUCCUUCCCUUCACUCCUCUCCCUCCAUUCCGUGACUCCUCUAGUACCUAACUACCUAUUCAAUCUUUAUAUGCAUUACCAUGUGAAUCCACUGUUAUUUUGAAGCGGGUGAUACAGAAAUGUGUUAUUAUUAUAACGCAGAGUUCAG